AGGCGGCUUCCUGGGUUGUGCAGAAUGGAUGGAUUGUCUGUGUCUGAAUAUGCCUAGAAUGCAUAGAUGCACACACCCACCAAGAAAUCCAAAUCCUCUCUGUGUUGGUUGGAAGCAGUACAUCAGUGGACAUCAUACCAACUCUACACUUCAUUCACCAACAACCAAGCACCAGAAUGGAAAACAAAACCAUAACCAUAGCUGAAAUAUUAGCUAAACCAAGAAAUCGUCAACAGGUAAACAUCAAAGUGAAAAUUCAAGACAUCCGAGAAAACACCACCCGUUGGCUUCAACACGAAUGCCGAGAAAUACAGAUGUCGACCUACUCCGUCGCCGACAGCACUGCCAGUAUCCUGCUAACUACAUGGAACAACAUGGACCUCACUAUAAACAGCUGGUACACCCUCUCACCUGUCACUGUUAAGGACUACAACAACACCAUCACUGUCAGCACAUCACCAUCCACCGCAGCAGAGACCAUCAAUCGACCCCCCAGACAUGGUGUAGCUGCACCAGUAACAGACAAUUCAGAAGAAGUCACUGGACUCAUCAUUGGAGCCAUGACUACAUCAACAAUCACCUGUCCCAAAAGGCACCCUCUUCCCAACUGUCCUCCUGGUGCACCUUUCCACAUGUGCCCUACAUGUAACCAACAUUUCAUUACAGCUAAGCUCCGCCACCAAUGGAAUGUUACCCUCACAUUGGAGAUAAAUGACACCACUAUAAGAGAAUUUAAGAUGGAUCAUACAGUCGUCCUAAACACCGCACCAAAGCACAUCUACCUGGACACAGACCCAAUCACAGUCACUGCACAUUUCCUGUCCAUUGGUUUAGUAACUGUGCGUGUCAAAGAUGAUGCUGUUUCUGCACUACACCCCUGCACAGCUUCUGCAUCUGUCCAACAAGAUACAGACAUCGCUGAUGAGACCCUCUUGACUUUUUUGGACGAAACGCUUUCUACCAGUGACGUCUAAAUCAACACAACACAUAGUUCUGACAACUUAUUGCAUUACACUCACCAAAACAUACAUCUUCACAUACAACACUUGUCAUAAACAUACCCUUAACAUUUCAUAAUCCUAUUGUUUCACAGUUGUUAUCUUAAUAAUCUUCAUAAUUGUUAUACUUGUAAAUGUUUUUAUUUGAUUUUCAAUUGCACAGUAAAUCAGUAAAUCAGAUGAUGUAAAUAUUUUGCCUUCUUACUAUUGUCAAACACAUUAAUUUUACUCUCACUUUAAAUGUGUUUUCAAUGUAAAACUUAAAAUGUGUAAAAACACUUAUUGUUCAACAUACAUUCUUUUACUUAUCUUCAUUGUACUUAUACAUUUGUCUUUAACUUGUAUUUUUUCAUUUGUAGUAAAUUCUUUGCUUAUUGUAAAAAAUUACAAAAGGUUACAAUAACAAAUAGUCAACCACCCAGCAUUCACAUACAUUUCCAACACAACAUUGACAUGGACAUAUCACCACAUGUAACUACACUGACUCCAAUUGAUUUAAAAUUCAGUACGUAUGUUUAUGUAAGACACAUAUGUAAUUAUUCUACUUUGACACCACAAUAGCUAUGAAAAUAAGACUGAAUGCAAUUAUGAAGCAACUUUGUACAUAUACAAUUUUUCUUGAUGUUUGUUUAUAAUUGGAAUAUCAUAGUAUGCAAAACAAUUUGUUCCAAUCAAGUAGGUUUACUUUUAUUGGACAAGAAGCCUUCCAUGAGUGGUGACAUUUGACAACCUCAGACAGUCUGCCACUGGGCCAAAUGAAAAGGCUCUUGUCUUUAUUUGCAAUGCACCUAGACCAUAAGAGGCAAGCUGGGGCCUCUUGUACUGUUAGAAAGGCCAGUUACAUUAAACAUUAUUGCUGUCAUAUACCAUAUUCCUUUGAUUAAACGCUGCAGUGUUUAUUACACAAUGCUCAUUUGUGGUGCACAUUUAUUCAAGGGUAAUGUUCAUUCAAGGGCAACGUUUAAUUGGUAAAAGAGAUUCAGUGAAUUGUAGCUGCAGUGCAGCCAUAGACAAACACAGAAUAGACAAGGAGGUCAAACAAAAGCCCAGUGUAAAAUGUAUGCCGCGCGUCUCUCUACUGUGUGUACAAAUCUGACGCAGCAUACUGUUAGAUUUCGGUUUCUUUGUCAUAACUUCACAUAAUUUCACAUUGUACAAAUUGUGUGAACAACCCCCAAAAAGUUAGUUUGCAUAGCACCAGGCCACAGCCAUCAAGCAACUCCUGGCCUUUUGUCUAUGUUGAUGAGCCAUCAGACAUGGUUCCUGGCUUUUGUGUGUCUUGAAGCCGGAAACGUUAGGUGGCCUUUGUCUUCACCCAUGACGAGAUGGCUCAAGCCAAAAGGUUAUUAGCAUUUAUAUGGCCAUACCUGGUAUGACCAUAUAGGGCCUUUGGUCAAGUGUCAUGUCAAUUUUGUAAUGAUUGGAAUGUUAAGGAGGAACCCGCCAUUGCUGCCUGCAGCUAUAUUUAUAGUUGCAUUUUUGGGUCACUUUGUCUCAUUGAUAGCCCAUGACUUAAAUAUACAGCAGUAAUAAUGGGAACAUGUCUUCAGCAACAACUACAUCUAUAUUUUUCAUACAUGUACAUUUCAAUGCAAAUGCUGUACUGCACUACUUGUGUAAAGUUGUGUAGUAUCGUUGGUAACCAGGCUGCAAACAAACAAAACAAAGCAGAGAACUGAAUCUGCCUUAUUUCCAGUGUACAAUUUAAUUUGUUUGUCAAAAUACAACAUCUUUCCAUCUACAAUGAUCUAAAUUUUCUCCGGUUUUGAACUUUUUGCUGGUGGUGAACAUUGACUGAGACAGGUAUCCAGGAAUUUCGGAAGAAGUGGUCACUGAAUGCAUUUUGUAUCUAAGCAAUGGGAAAGUAUCCACAGUUGUGUUCACAUAGUCUACUGGUAUGCUGAUAUGAAAAGGUGUACAUGGUAUUGAGACAAGUGUGAAAAUGAUUGGAAAAACUGUAAACCCAAUGUAAAACAUUCACGUUGUGCAGCCCAUAUUAUUCUGAAGCAUGCAGAAUCUGAGCUAGCCAGCUGUAGCUAUCCUAGUUGACUAAUUAGCUACUGGGAACAUAAUGAAAGACUACCGUAUACAAUUUAUUUCUAUAGCCCAUUCAAAAAACAAUAGGAGUUGUACCAAAGUGCUUUCUAGUUGUGGUAAAUAGAUUGACAAUAAGAAUAAACAUGAAUUAAAGGAAAUAAAUGUUAAAACAUACAAACAAAUAACAGGAAUAGAAGUAGAAAGAAUAGAAGACAAAAUAACACAAAAUACAUUCUCGAACACACUAAAGAAAUACUGAAACACACUAAUUAAAUACUAAAACAUGAUACAUGAGUACAAUUAAUAAUGAAAAGACACAUACAAUGAACAAGAUAAGCAAGUAAAAAGUUAAUCAGAUGAUCUUACUGUUGUCAUUAUGUUAACCGGUACAAUAUUUAUGAAUUAUGGUAUUAAAAAAAUGUCAGGUCUUGGGUCUGUACAUUAUGUUGGUUGUGUGUACGAUCAGUGAGAUUAAAAUUAUUACCAAUUAAUAAGA
ensembl:lncRNA